UACAGAGGGGGCAAGCGUUGUUCGGAAUUACUGGGCGUAAAGGGCGCGUAGGCGGCCUUCUAAGUCGAACGUGAAAUCCCCAGGCUCAACCUGGGAACUGCAUCCGAUACUGGAUGGCUUGAAUUCGGGAGAGGGAUGCAGAAUUCCAGGUGUAGCGGUGAAAUGCGUAGAUAUCAGGAGGAACACCGAUGGCGAAGGCAGGUCUCUGGGCUGACACUGACGCUCAUGCACGAAAGCGUGGGGAGCAAACAGG
rnacentral:rRNA from 1 species